rnacentral:rRNA from 1 species
UGGGGAAUAUUGGACAAUGGGCGCAAGCCUGAUCCAGCCAUGCCGCGUGUGUGAAGAAGGUCUUCGGAUUGUAAAGCACUUUAAGUUGGGAGGAAGGGCAGUAAGCGAAUACCUUGCUGUUUUGACGUUACCGACAGAAUAAGCACCGGCUAACUCUGUGCCAGCAGCCGCGGUAAUACAGAGGGAGCAAGCGUUAAUCGGAAUUACUGGGCGUAAAGCGCGCGUAGGUGGUUCGUUAAGUUGAAUGUGAAAGCCCCGGGCUCAACCUGGGAACGGCAUCCAAAACUGGCGAGCUAGAGUAGGGCAGAGGGUGGUGGAAUUUCCUGUGUAGCGGUGAAAUGCGUAGAUAUAGGAAGGAACGCCAGUGGCGAAGGCGAGCACCUGGGCUCAUACUGACACUGAAGUGCGAAAACGUAGGGAGCAAACAGG